UCAUCAAUCAUCGCUUUGUUUUGCUUUCGGGCAUUGUGAUUUCUCCUAUGUAGAUGUUUGUGCACAAUACAGCACGUAGAGCUUCCUGUUUGGUCAUGUUAUUGAGUGUUCAUCUCCUGCAGGCAAGUUUAUAUCUCCUGUAAUCGAAGAGCUGAGUAAGAAAUACCCUCAUGCAACAAUAUAUAAAGUUGACAUUGACACGGUAUGAAAGUUUCAUGCUUCAUGGUGUAAAAAUGAUACUUCUAUUCUCACGAAAAAGUUUCUCUCUUGAUUCUAUAUCAUGGGAUUUUCUUUCUAUUUACAUCUUAAGAGAAUCGAUGAAACCAAUUAAAAUGUAAUCAAAUUUACAAUUUUAAUUUUAAUACACCGCCACCACCACAAACACCAUAACCUAAAUUUUGGUGGCUGAUAGUCAUUAUUGAUUAAAAGGUGUAAUGAAUAGCAUUAUUUAUGAAACAUUAGUCUCUGCGCUACAGAGGCACCUAAGAUGAACCUGUCCUAAUGGUCAAUGGCUUGAAUCUGUCUGGGGGGAUUUGUGGAGCUCUUUGUUGUGUUCAUAACCUGGGUUGAGAUAAUUGAAAAGGAAUAGGAGCGUAAGACCAUGGGGAAAUAAUAUUUGAAGGCAUUAAACAACAUCAAUAUUAUGCAUGAAACAUUAGGUUGUGUGCUUUAGGUUUAUCUAAGAUAAAAGUUAAAACUGUCCCUGUGAUCUGAAUGACCCACUGAAAAUGGUCAAUGGUUUGAUCUGUCUGCCACAUUGGAAACAUGGGAUGGUGUGGAUUAAAAAUGAAUAAGAGUAUAGUAGUAUGAGCACAUUGGUUGAAACAAUCAAGAAAUCAAGACUUAGUUUUGACUGUUGAGUAUUCUUAUUUGGCUCACAGGAAAGCCUAUCUUGUGAUCAUUAUAGCAAUGUGACAUAGCUCUGGUCUUCAUAUUUCAUAGAUAUAAAGCAACCUUGUUAAAGGGCCAAAUUUCUUCCUGUCUUAUGGUAGCAUAGAUAGUCAUGAAUUCAAAAUGGUAGGGACUAAUGUUGCCGGCCUCCCUUGCAGGAAGGUCUUCAAAAUGCGUUGGCGAGCUUGAAUAUUGCUGCUGUGGUAAAGUUCACUACUCUUUUUCAUUCUUUGAUUGCUCGUAUUCCAUAUAUGUUCCCUGAACAUCCCUACUAAUCAAUAUAUUUGUAUUUGUUCUUAUUUUAUUCUGAGAGUGUUCUUGGGAAUGGAUGGUAUGUGUAUUGGGUUUGCAACCAAAUUGUUUCAGGUUCAAGUCCUAAGAUUACCCACUCUAUGCAAAGUUUUUGGAGGUUGAGAGUUUGAGCUGUCUCCAAGUUCCCUUCCUGUUCUCUGUUUCUAUUACCUGCUGAGUGACUGUUUUGAACCAAUAAUAUCAUAUGUUUUGCAUCUGUUCUUCAUUUUCUUCAUAGAAUAAAUAAGAAAUUUUCCAAGGUUGUGAUGUGACAUAAAAAACAUGGAAUUCUCCACUUAUUGCUAGGAAACCAGAAGGUGCAUAUAAAUUAGAAUGUUCAGAUUUAAAGAGUUCUCUGCAUGACUUGUUCGUGAUGGAGCAGGCAUGGGAAAUUGUGUAUUGGUUUUGCAAGAUGCAAUGAGAGCCAACAUGGCAUUAGGGAGAAGGUUUUGGGCAUGCCAAUGUGUUAAUGGAUUGUAUGCUAACCAUUCCACUGUGGCAGGGUGUUAGGGAAUAUCUUUUGUAGGUUUUGGCAGGAGGAAAGUUUGUAAUAUUUUACAUGUAUGUUCUGCUUUCAUAGUUUUUCAGCAUUUAUAGUGGCUGGCAUAAGAAGAAACAUACAAUGUCUAGUGUUUGUUGCCAUUAGAGGCCUUGGUUGAAGUACAGUGGGAUGGGAGACACUCUUGUUUUGAGUUUAAUUUUCUUUUCUACAAUUUUUUCUCUCUCCUAGUUGUACAAGUACAUUAAUCUCCUUAUGCAAUCACUUCAUUUAUACCUCAAAAGAAGCCUUGCCUGUUUGUGCAAAAUUUCUUUUUGGAGGGCUUAUGGCUCAAAUCUUUCUGAUUUGAGUCUUCUUUUGCAGCCAACUCUUGAUUUCUACAAAAAUGGCAAAAAGGAAACUACAAUUGUUGGUGCUGAUGUUGCCAAGUUGAAGAAUACCAUGGAAUCUCUCUACAGGUAAUUUCUAAGUGGACUAAGUUUGUCUUUGCAUAUGCUUCUGUAUGUCAGUGACUGCUGGGUAAGUUCAUUAUUGCCUGUCCGUGAACCAAACUUUAUGUAUUUAGCAUUAGCUGUUACCUUAUGAUAUUUAUAUCUUUUCAUAUAUCUAUGCUUUGCCUCAUGGAACUUACACAGCCCGUGAUUUCUAUGGUCUCCAUAUUGGUCUUUCUUUAACCCACAAACUUUCUAUAUACCAUUGGAGUGCUUGAAGGAAGUAAUUUAAACUUGAUCAAUUGUAUGUCUAUAUUUGAUGCUGCUAUGACUUUUUAUUCCUUACAAGAGGAUAAAAGAGUUGGAAAUAUUUAAAUCUUAUUUGGUUAUAGCUGUAACCCCCCUCUUUUCUUUUGAGAAUGAUUAAGGCCCUCUAACUCAAAUGUUAUUGCUGAUUUUUUGUAAGCAUAAGCGCACGUGUCACUUGUGCUCAAAUUCUCUGGCACUCCUGUAUGUUUGUCAACAAGGCUAACGUGUUGGUUUGACUAACAUAUGCUUUGUGUCUUGUCAUGACAUUCAUUUGGUGUUGUGUUCGAUUUUCAGUUUCCAAAAAUUUCACCUCUGAAAGCAGUUCCUAUCCUGGUAGAUUUGCAUUGACUUAUUUUACCACACUCGAUAGUUUGUCAAAAUUCAGUUUGAAGGGGUGGGUGUGGUUGGAAAUCUGGUUUCUGCUGAAUCUAACCAACUGAUACAUUAGUGGGUUCGUGUAAAUGGACCGAAAAGAGGGAUCAAUUUUAGGUUUUGGGCAAAGUUCAAAAAAGUCUCCCAACCAUAUAGGUCCCCUAACAAUUUUCCUUCUCAAUCGGGUCCCCAUAGUUUCAUAAAUUCUCUAUUGAAUCUCUUUUCCUUAAUGGAUUCCAUCCAAAGGCAAUCUAUUUAAUACUUUCCUAUAAAAACUUAUCAAGAGCUUAUAUGAAGAACUUAAAUGAGAAUUUUAAAUGCUUCAUGGAUCCAAUUGAGACCUUACCGCAGAAAUGGCAUUUGUCUAAGGGUACUUUCUUAUUUUUAUUUUCAGGGAGGAUUAAGGGAAGGUGCCUAAAUAAAAGGAUUGGUAUUGCAAAUGGAUCGUGAAGGUGUCUAGACGGUGGUGGUUAUGCGGUUCUCUCUCUAGAAAAGUAUUUAAGGUGCUUUUGCCAGGCCUCUUGUCUCAGAAAUUAUUUUGCUGUGCUUAAUGAUCCGUCGGUAGAAUAUGCUGUGAAAAGACUUCGAGAUGAUCUGCCCAUGCUUGUGGAUGGGACUAACUAAAAAAAUGAAUACCAGAAAACGAACACAUGUUAUGCUUCUAUAGCACGUAUGUUUUUUAUUCCUGGAUUUGUUUUAAUAAAUUUACCUUGGUCCUUAUUUUUUAUUUUUCUUAUAAAAAAGUCCUUGAUUGAAAGUUUUUGUCAUCAUAUUUUACAACAAAUACAAUUUAGUUCCUCAAUUUGUUUUUUUCAAUUAAAUUCUUACAUGUCAACUUAUAAAACUUAUUUAAAUUCUCAAAAUUAUUAAAAAAUAUUCGCAUACAUGAUCAAUUAAUCCAAACAAAUAAAAACUAUCAGGUAUUGAGCUAUUAUUUAGAGAUAGAAUUCAUUCCUAUAAUAUCACAUAUUUAUCAAGAAAUAUGUUUUUCCUUUUUUAAUUCUGUCUUGAUUUUCUUAGGUUAAACUUAGAGAAAUAAAUGUUUUUAACAAAAGAAAACAGAAGGAAAAAUAUAAUAAUAGAUAUUGAUAUCAUACAAAAUAAAAUAUUUAUUUUUAAAUGGGUAUAUCUAUUUAAAUUCACUUAAUUUUUAUCUGAUCUAUCAACCCAUUUAAAAUUUUUUGACUGAUUUUGAUCCGUUUUAUAAUUUAACAUGUAGGGAUGUAAUUAAGAAAAUGAAAUCAAGGAAUAAAUUAUAUUUACUAUGACAAAAAAAAUUUCAAUUAAGAACCUUUUUAUUAUAAAAAAGAAAUAUAAGGAUCAAAGUAGUUUUUUAAAAAACAUUAAGGACCAAGACAUACAUCAAUGAAAAGUUCAUGCUAUAGGAACAUACCACGUGUCAAUAAAUACACAUCAACUAAUAGAAGGUCUGAACGUACAAGGAUGAUAUUAAGAAAGAUUUUCUUGACCCUUCCUUCAUUUGAGUGCGAUAACAUUUUACCUCUGUGUUUUUCAGAAUUGCUCUUUAUAUACCAAUUUAACGUAAGAUUUAAAUUUUAAUAAAAAAGAAAAAGAAAAACCUCUUGCAUAUAAUAUAGCAACUAAAUACCAAAACACAUGAUAGAUGUCAUUCUCUUAUUAGCUUCUCGAGUUUUCUUUUCUCCCUCUCUGUAAAAUGAUUACAGCAAACAAAAUCCAACACAAAUCAGAAGAAAUCGAAUUACCCAACUUUUCAAGUAAUCUUCUCCACAAAAACCAAUUUCUUACACUAAGCUCGUCAAUCCCGAAUGACCAAAGCCCUAAAAACGCAAUUGUUGCCUAAUUGUUUCGGUUAAAUCAUAAUAUUUUAGAAUAUCCAACACCUUUUACGAUUUGUAAAUGAAUUAUUGUUGUUUUUUUUUCAAAAUCCUAAAAAAUUAUCAAAUUUUCGUAUCUUCUAAUUAAUAUUCUCAUGAUAGAUUUAAACCCUGAUUUUUUAAUCUUUAAUUAACUUUUAUUUAACCUUUAAUUGAUUGUUUGCAAGAUAAAAAGCCAAAUUUUAUCAUACACCAUGGAAGUGACACCUACAUCUUAAAAAAAAUAUGCACUGGCUAUACAUGGCACAUAAACUUAUUAUUCAUGUGAAAAACAAGCAUUCGAUGGUGACCAAAAGGGAUUUCAAAUUCAAGAUGAUGAAGGUAAUGAAAUUUUUAAUGAUGUUUCCAUUACGAAGAUGUUGUCUUUGCAUGAAGAUGUUGAAGUCAUACAAUUAUACAUGCAUGCAGACUCUAAAUACUACUUAGAUAAACCUAAUGAUGGUAAACCUCGUAUUUUAACAAUUAUGAUGAUGAUAUUAAUAGGAAAAACAAUGUAGUGUUUUUAGUUAAUGAAGAUGUUAUGGGUAAAGAUAAUAAGAAUGCUAAUUUGGGGUGUGAGGUUGAUGAUGAUGUCAUUAUUGAUAUAUAGGGUGAUGUUAAUGAAGAUAAGUAUGAUGGUGAUGGUGAGAGUUUGGAUGAUGAUUAUAUUCCAUCGGACGAUGAGGGUUUGAAUUUGAAAAGAAAGACGAGGAUGAAUGUAUUAACAACACUCAUAGUUAUAAUGAUUUUGUAUUAGAGAAUAAAUUAAAUUAUGACUUUUAUUUUGAGAAUGAAUGGAUACUGAGUAGUGAUGAUGAUAAUAUUAAUUUAAGGAACAAAUUUAAUAAUAGUGAAGAUGAAAACAAUAGGGUAAAUAGAUUAACCUUCUAAAUACAAAUGUUGAUUUAAGAUUUCAAUUGAUGGGUCCAUAGAUUUUUGAAGUGUCAAAUACUCAAUGAUUUAUUUCACUUGAGAGAAUAUAAAGUUAAGCAUAGUUAUUAUUAAAAAACAUUGAAAAAAAAACAAUUAAUUAAAAUGAAAAAAAGGUGCAUAUUAUUUAGAUAGUGGUUGCACAUUGGGGAGUUAUGUUUUUGCUUGUUAUCUGGUAGCAAAACUAUUAUGAUUAGGUCAUUAAAAGGUAAAUAUAGUUGUCUUAGGUUAACCAUCAUUAAAGCAACUAACUCUACAUGGAUAGCUAAAAAAUUGCUACCCCCUUGUUAAUGUUUAUCCUAACAUAUCCAAUAAAGCUUUCAAGAUCAUUCUAGAUAACAAGUUUGAAAUAAAACUACAACUAAUGCAGUGGUUAAGGGCUAGAAAAAAAAAAAACUAAGGAAUUUGUAAAAGUUAGUCAUAAGAUGUCUUAUAAAAACUUGCCUAGAUAUGUUUAGUCAUUAAAAAGAAAUCUUAAGGUUUGACCCUAAUUCUAAUGUUGAUAUCUAUUUAUCUUGAAAGGUAUAAAGAUUCUAUAUUUGCUAGAAAUCUUUGAAGGAUGACUUUGUAAGUGGUUAUAGAUCUUUUAUGAGAAUUAAUGGUUUAUAUUUAAAGAGUCUUUAUAUAAGAGUGUUCUUGAUAAUAGAAUGGAUUAUUUUCAAUUACAUAUGUUAUUAUAAAGGUUGAAAAUAAUGCUUUGUAUGGCUCUCAAUCAAAACUUGAAUCAACUACAAACCAUGCAAUGAAUAUUUAUGCUAAUUUUAUAAAAAAAGAAUUUCAUAGCAUAGAGCUCAAAAUUAGAUUUCAGGUGCAUCUAUGUCAUUUACAUACCUUAACUACUACAAUUAUACAAAGAAUAUUGGUGAUAUUGACAAUAAUGUUGUUAAUUGCUUGAAGAACAUCCCUUCUAAAACUUGGAUAAGAUAAUUAUUUGAGCUUAAAAUAAAAGUUAAAAAUACAACAAAUAAUAUGGCUGAAUCAAUCAUUAUUGAGUUGGGAAGCAUACCGAUUGUGAUAUUAUUCUAAAAGAUUAGAUUGAUGUUUAGGUUGCAUGAUAGAUUUGCUAAAGUUAUUAGUUGGAAGACUAAAAGUACUCAUUAUACGAGGAACUAGGUGAAAAAAAGAAAAAGAAUUGAGAAUGUAUCAUUUGUUAAAUAAAAAAAAUCUUUAAAAAACAUAUAAAAGUUUCAUCUAAUAUUCAAAAAUAAAAUAAAAUACAUAGAUGAAUUAACCAAUUAUCAUUUGACGAAAGGUUUGAAUUUCAAUAGACAACAAAACAAGAAACUCCUAUGCUAUUAGGCUUCCUAUUCAGGUCCGUGAGAUUUAAUGUCGGGAUAAAAUCUUGUGAACAUGAAUAAUUUACCUUGAAGAACAUUAAGAAAAUUCAUUUACCGGGAGGUGGAAGAGACUGAUGCUAGGAAUCAAUCAACAAGCUGCCGCAACUCCAGAUUUGGUCUCAAUUUUCAACAAGGGAUCUUCAUCGUGUGUGUGUG
rnacentral:lncRNA from 1 species